UGUUUUCCACGAGCGAGGCGGCCAGCUUGGCUGCAGCUGUCCAAACCGGAGGGCCUUGGGAAGGGGAGGAGAGAAGCCUGGAUUGGAGGACGGUGCACUUGGCAAAGGUCAGACACCCCAAGACAGCUUUGAGUGUGGGAACUGUCCGCGAAGGCAUGUGCGAAAUGCUCUGCUCUGUGGUAUCGUUUUUCCUCCAAGGCUGCCUGAAGGGAGAAGCUCGAUGAAAGAAACAAAGACAAAGAAAAAUGUUUGGAACAACUUGAGGGUAAGUAAAUAGUGAAUAAAUAAAUUUUUGAGUGAACUAUCCCAUAUUUAGACUUAAUAGUCAACUUAAUAGUCAACUACUGUAGUUUCAAUAGUUUCAACUCAAUAGUUUCAAGCUACAAAUUUACUUUUUUUAUUUUUGUCAACUGUUCACUUUUAGGGCAACGGAUUACUGACUUUUUAAAGUAAAGUAAUUAAUAGCUUUUUAGUAAAAUAAGUCAAGUAAAAUGUAUUUAAAAGUAACCCUGGUUUGAUUUUUUGAAGAGCACAACUA
ensembl:processed_transcript